rnacentral:rRNA from 1 species
AAUAGAUACCAGGUAGUCCACGCCCUAAACGAUGUCAACUAGCUGUUGGGGUCUUCGGACCUUGGUAGCGCAGCUAACGCGUGAAGUUGACCGCCUGGGGAGUACGGUCGCAAAAUUAAAACUCAAAGGAAUUGACGGGGACCCGCACAAGCGGUGGAUGAUGUGGAUUAAUUCGAUGCAACGCGAAAAACCUUACCUACCCUUGACAUGUCUGGAAUCCUGAAGAGAUUUGGGAGUGCUCGCAAGAGAACCGGAACACAGGUGCUGCAUGGCUGUCGUCAGCUCGUGUCGUGAGAUGUUGGGUUAAGUCCCGCAACGAGCGCAACCCUUGUCAUUAGUUGCUACGAAAGGGCACUCUAAUGAGACUGCCGGUGACAAACCGGAGGAAGGUGGGGAUGACGUCAAGUCCUCAUGGCCCUUAUGGGUAGGGCUUCACACGUCAUACAAUGGUCGGGACAGAGGGUCGCCAACCCGCGAGGGGGAGCCAAUCCCAGAAACCCGAUCGUAGUCCGGAUCGCAGUCUGCAA